GGUGCCGUGGGCCACGAGGUCGAGGCCCGCGGCCUCGGACGCCGCGGCGAGACGUUGUUCGGUACCGGGCAGCUCGA
rnacentral:tRNA from 1 species